GCCGGGCGCGGUGGCGGGCGCCUGUAGUCCCAGCUACUCGGGAGGCUGAGGCAGGAGAUUGGCGUGAACCCGGGAGGUGGAGCUUGCAGUGAGCUGAGAUCCGUCACUGCACUCCAGCCCGGGUGACAGAGCGAGACUCUGUCUCAA
rnacentral:SRP_RNA from 1 species